GUCAGAGAAUGGGAACGUAUUGGAAGAUCUUAAUGAAAACAAUGAGCAUGAUGAUGGUGAGGAAAACAACUCGGAGAUCUCGAAUGAAGAUUACAUUAGUCAGCUCAUUUCCGAAUGUCAUAAUGCGUACGACUAUUACGG